rnacentral:lncRNA from 1 species
UCACGCCCUCUAAUUUUCAAUAACUCCAGCCACUAAUAUCAAAAUAGAAGAGGCGGUAAUCCUCACUAUCAAACUUUUAAGUUCUGUUGACAUAUAAAAUCCAGUAAACAACUAAAAAUAAAACCAGAACUCAAGCUGAAAAUAUUGCAUCCACAAGCUUUAUUGAAAUUGAAGCACUUCACCACUAGAAAAUGAAAGUAAAUGAAUAAACUUAAAAGGUAUACUAAGAAACUUACCUCAUACAUGUACAAGUCAGACUUGCCUUCCAGAUCCUUAACCACCAGUAAACACAAAUCCAAUAUUUUGAUUCGAUGUCAUGUCGAUGGAUCAUUUUAAAAUAGAAAAUAAGUAAAGAUCUCCAACAAGAGUGUUAAAUACUGCCUUGUAUCUUCUUCUUUUUUCCCUUUUAACAAUUCUGCAUCAAAUUCAUCAUGCAUCACUUCUGUACAUCCAUGCUUUGUGUAGACUAUACAGCUAAAAUAACCACAAAAACAUAAGAAGAAAAUAAUAGAGACUAACCUCAAUCGCCAACACUCCAGCUUUUCAAUUCUAGUCUCUCCUUGAAGAAAACCCAAACUUUACACUAAAAAAUAAAAAAAUAAUAAUACAAAGAUUGACAACUCUUCCGACUUCGCCAAUGCUAAACCCUAAUCGGGAAACACCUGAUACUUCAAUGAUUCUUUUACUCGUAAG